AGUGAACGCUGGCGGUAGGCCUAACACAUGCAAGUCGAACGGCAGCACAGUAAGAGCUUGCUCUUACGGGUGGCGAGUGGCGGACGGGUGAGGAAUACAUCGGAAUCUACUUUUUCGUGGGGGAUAACGUAGGGAAACUUACGCUAAUACCGCAUACGACCUACGGGUGAAAGCAGUGGAUCUUCGGACCUUGCGCGAUUGAAUGAGCCGAUGUCGGAUUAGCUAGUUGGCGGGUUAAAGGCCCACCAAGGCGACGAUCCGUAGCUGGUCUGAGAGGAUGAUAAGCCACACUGGAACUGAGACACGGUCCAGACUCCUACGGGAGGCAGCAGUGGGGAAUAUUGGACAAUGGGCGCAAGCCUGAUCCAGCCAUACCGCGUGGGUGAAGAAGGCCUUCGGGUUGUAAAGCCCUUUUGUUGGGUAAGAAAAGCAGCAGGUUAAUACCCCGCUGUUCUGACGGUACCCAAAGAAUAAGCACCGGCUAACUUCGUG
rnacentral:rRNA from 1 species